AGCUCAUUCAAUCUUCAUUCUACCCACCCCGUCCUUGCCCCAAGAGUAUCUGCCUGCACUGCAGAAGCUUAAAAGCUAAAAUCAGCAUUGUCCAGUUGUUCUUACCACCAGGCUUCUGGAUACAAUUUCUGAUCUAUCAAUAAAGGACUUUCCUGGGAUUUGGAAACUGAAAGUGAAGGGGAGAUUCUUACUACCACCUUACAUUUCCUAUUGGCAAAGCAAGUCAAGAAAUAAGACUUUUUUCCAAAGUGAUGCUCCAGUGUCCAUUCUCCCAACUGUUUGGAUGCUGAGAGGCAACCGCACUGGAAACAGCGGCUGGACUCCAAGUUCCAAUGCCCAGUCACUCACAAUGCGGGUGUCAAGAGGCAGCUGAGGCAACAACAGGCAGCAGCUUUCUAAGCCAUGGCGUGAAAUCCCUGAAUGACGUUCUUAAACUCAGUAAUUCCUGUGGCACCAUCAGUGGUUAUAGCUUCCCCAGCAGAUCACUUUUUGAGUUCUGGAAUUUAUUUCUGGAGAGCAAAUUUAUAUUUAAGAUAGUUAGAAUGGUUUCUAUUUCCUGGUCCUUGACUCUUAUACACUAAACAAGUUAACACCUUACAGGUGAAGAAGCAUACCAAGAAGGAAAGAAAACAAGUAACAUCAGUGCAAGGGGCUAACAAACUGGUAAGUGCCAGUUAGACCUUAGAUACAUGAGAAAACAAUGAAUGAGACUAGAAUCAGUAUCCUAAAAUUCUCUUUGAUAUCAAAGUUCUAAGUACCUGAAUCCAUAAGUAGUCACAUAAAGAAAUCAUCAUUUGUCCAACAUGUAUGUAAUUUCAAGUUUUAGCUCAACUGAUUAUCUUCUCUCUUGAAUAUUGGCCAUAUUUUCAUGGUUCUUCCUAAGUAUGGUAAUUUUAUAUUACAUUCUAUAUGUGGUAAACGAUACCUUACAGAAACUCUAGAUUCUGUAAUCGUCCUCUAAAAUAUGUUUUUAUUUCCAAGGAUAGGAAAAAUAAAAAGAUAAAAGAAGUAGAAAAGAAAAAACAAACGAAAAAUGUUUACAGUAGGCCAGGCAUGGUGGCUCCCACCUGUAAUCAUAACACUUUCAGAGGCAGAAGGUGGUGAAUCCCUUGAGCCCAGCCUUGGCGACAUGGCAACACCAGCCUUGGUAACAUGGCAAAGCCCCAUCUCUAUAAAACAUACAAAAAAUUAGCCAGGUGUGGUGAUGUAUACCUUUAGUCCCAGCUACUUGGGAGGCUGAGGCGGGAGGAUCCCUCGAGUCAGGGAGUUUGAGGUUACGGUAAGCUAUGAUUACAUCGCUGCACACCAGUCUAGGUGACAGAGUGAGAGCCUGUGUUCAAAUAAAUAAAAUGAAA